rnacentral:rRNA from 1 species
UACGUAGGUGGCGAGCAUUGUCCGGAUUUACUGGGCGUAAAGGGAGCGUAGGCGGACUUUUAAGUGAGAUGUGAAAUACUCGGGCUCAACUUGAGUGCUGCAUUUCAAACUGGAAGUCUAGAGUGCAGGAGAGGAGAAUGGAAUUCCUAGUGUAGCGGUGAAAUGCGUAGAGAUUAGGAAGAACACCAGUGGCGAAGGCGAUUCUCUGGACUGUGACUGACGCUGAGGCUCGAAAGCGUGGGGAGCAAACAGG